rnacentral:rRNA from 1 species
GAUGAACGCUGGCGGCGUGCCUAACACAUGCAAGUCGAACGGAACUAUUCUCGAUUGAGACUUCGGUUGAUUGAAGGUUUAGUUUAGUGGCGGACGGGUGAGUAACGCGUGAGCAACCUGCCUUUCAGAGGGGGACAACAGCUGGAAACGGCUGCUAAUACCGCAUAUUGUAUAUUGGUCGCAUGGCUGAUAUAUGAAAGAUUUAUCGCUGAAAGAUGGGCUCGCGUCUGAUUAGCUAGUUGGUGAGGUAACGGCUCACCAAGGCGACGAUCAGUAGCCGGACUGAGAGGUUGAACGGCCACAUUGGGACUGAGAUACGGCCCAGACUCCUACGGGAGGCAGCAGUGGGGAAUAUUGGGCAAUGGGCGAAAGCCUGACCCAGCAACGCCGCGUGAAGGAAGAAGGCUUUCGGGUUGUAAACUUCUUUGACCAGGGAAGAAACAAAUGACGGUACCUGGAAAACAAGCCACGGCUAACUACGUGCCAGCCGCCGCAGUAAAAC